CGGGAACUCCAGGCACACACCCAAGGGCAGCGUUGAGGGUGCAUAGCGAAGGCAUGAACCUGUCACGAGGAAGACGGAGGGCACGCAGGGCACCAGACAGUGGUACAUGAAACACUGGUGCAUCCUACAGGAACAUACGAGACUCAGUAUGUGACAGGUACACCCUCCCCUCACAGUUCCUCCAUAUCCGGUGCCUGAGAAGACAAGGGGCUUGGCAAUCUAUUUGCGCAUGGAAUGGUGUUUUCGAGUAACAGGUGGAAACUGAGGGUUAGAGCGAUAACCAAGGAUCUACAAAGAGAAGAGAGUCUAGACAACCCGGAUUACAGAACAGAGCUUUCCAGUCAAGGUACACAGGAAUGCAUAUCUUUCCUCUGUCCGAAAAGGACUGAAGGCACCUUGCAAACAGGAUGGAAGAAAACAAGCAAACAAACAUCAUAUGAAAGAUUCAGUACGUGGGAAACAAAGCAGGCAAAGAAAGCAGCGGAUCCGGUGCCUAAAUUAAACCCAAACUUUGAGCUUUGUGGCCUCGGGGGGAUCAGGAAGCAUACACUGCAGGGCCUGUCGCUGGAGAGGUGGGAGCACCCCGCCGCUCUGAGAGGGGAGGACCGAUCUCCUUAUGCCCUGUGCCUGGCCAGCCAGACUCAGACACCUCGUUGGACAGCCUUAUCACCACCGUUUCACGACAAAGUGCAUCAAUAGCUUUCAUUUACAUACAGCUUGAGGCAACUUUUAAAAAAAAAUCAGAUGUAAAAUUGAGCAGGUGCAAUUCAUGGACCGCAGAGAUUCUGUGAACAGCAGAACCAGCACACCCGCCGCGCUCCAGGCCCAGGACAAACUUCCGAGAAUUCAAGGAUGAACAGCCUUGAGUUUCUCUCCUUAGGGAGCUGAGGACCUAGCAGCGGGGGCAGGUAAGCUCACACCAAACAGGUAUAUACGUGGCUCCUCUCAAAUCCCUGCUGGUUGAGACCCAAGAUUCAUGUUUGGUUUCCAGUUACAGGUCGAUGCUGGUUUCUUGGGCUUAUUUUGCCUUUCCUUCUCUGGCCCCACCUGUCACCCCUCCAGAGUCAGAGUGUUGUGCGGAGGCCCUAGCUGCUUUGGGGGCCCAGGACAGCUCCCAGUGGGAGGCAGUUGGUGCGUGCAGGGCAGACAUGACUCCUGGACCGGCUUCCUGUUUUCAGCGGGGUGUGGCAAUGCCAAAAGGACAGCCUCACUUUCUGGCUGGAAUUCUGGCAUUUCUCUGAAUUUGCAGAGGAAGCAUUGGGAUUUCAGAAGCAAAGCCUCAAGCUGUCAACCAGAUAUUUAAAAAGUUGGCCAUCGUUGUAACGAUGUUCUCAUGUUCUCAUGAUGCAGGGGGCCAGGGGGAGCCCCGGCCUGCUUAAGAUUCCACCGCUUCCUAUGGAGAAAGGUCUGGUGGUCAGGUCCAGAGAGGGAAGCCCGCCUUCUCUGGAAGGUGUGAUGCCCCUUUCUCUCCAGUUCUACCCACUUCCAGUACACUUCCCCAGACUGUCACUAAAUGGUUGACACACCUGUUUGCCUCUAUGGCAAUUAUGGCUUUCUCUUCAUUUAUUCUGCCUUCAUCAUUCUUUCAUCCACCCAUUUAAUAAAUACCCGGAGGGCCUUCCAGGGGCCAGGCAAACGUGGUAAUCAGCAGACACAUAAUGGUACGGCCGGCCGGUCAGUCCAAGAGCCCCUACCGGAGUUUGCGGGGUGCCCUGCUCCUGUUCAGCUACAGGGGCUGUCAGUGUGGUCUCAGUGCAACCCAGAACCCCCAUAGCUCAUCACGUAGCACGGAGCAAUCCCCAGGAACUCCUCCCCAACAUCCACCACUAGGUCCUUGACACAGAAAGCGGCUAAAUGCACGAAGGUUAGUGUUGAGCCGCCAGCAUGGAAGGUAGAGGUUGCUUCUCAAGAGCGGAGGGGAUUUGAGGCAGAAAGACUGAGGUAGAAGAAAAGACAAAUUAAUUAGCUUGUCAAAUCCUUCUCAGAAAGCACAAAUGCAACAGGCUGUUGCAUAAUGAAGUAUCAUUCCCCAGGAAUGGGGAGUUUCCAUACCUUGCUUCUCUUCAUGUACCGAUUUUUGUUUCAAAGGUACUUGUGAAUUAGUGCAGAUAUCACAAUGGUUGGAUAAGAUGUAAGAGGAACAUUCUGCGACAUUAAAUAAGUCAAGUUACUCUUAAGUUUGUAUAUAUGUGGGCCUACAUGUUACAAGAUUGGGACAGGAUGCUCAUUUUUUUACACGGGAACUCAAUGGAUACUGAACACAAAGUAGCAAAUUAUUUUAAUAAAAGGAGUUAAUAAGAGUUUUAUGAUAUUUCCAAAAGCACUUUUCAACUUGCUUGAAUAUUCGGAUGCAUUCUCUUGCCACUCAUUAAUUUAUGGUUUUUAUUUUGCAUGAUUAUUGUGAGGAAAAUUCCUGGGUACAUAACCCUGAAGUGAAUUUCUAAGGAGACCAUUCUGACCAUGAAUGACAUUUUUCUAUUUUUGGUUUUAUUAAAAAUUUCCCCGCAGUGAAAAAUUUGGAAGAACUAAAGAAAUACUGUGGUAGAUCCAGCUACAAGUGAAAAUUCAAGUGAAAAUUUGUUGUAAAUAACAGUAAUUUACAUGAUAACAUAUUUUUAUAUUUUCUGCUGUAAUAAUGAUUCCCAUAUAACCACAUUAUAUUGUUCAAAUGUGAUUUGCAGAACUCAUGGUUUAUUUUCAAAUCUAUGCAUUGCCUUAAGAAUUUUAUUUAUAAUUUCAGUUUCUAUUGCUUCAGCUGUGUGGUAUCUUUCCAAAUUAAAAUAACAAAAACUGCCUACAGAAAUCUUAAAACUAUGAUGACCCAAGAAAGAUCGCUUAACAAGCCAUUAUCAAUAGAACACAAACAAUGUGGAAAAACAUCUUCAUGAUAGCACCCAAAUUAGUGAUUCAAAUA